AAUUCUGAAUCCAACAGCCAACUUGUUUGUUGGCAUUUGUGCGGUGUGAAUUGGCCUGAGGCAAGUAAUGACAUGCAUACUGCAAAACAAGGUGGACUAGAAAUGCAAUGUAUGUAUAAAAGGAAUUAGGAAGUGAAACACUUUAAAAGGAGGUGAAUAGGCUACUUGCCAGUAUAGAAGAUCUAUACAAGACAUAAGUAAAACGCGUAUAACUGCUCUCCUGGCUUAAGAGAACUCAAGAUUUACAAUGCCAUUUUUAGAUGAAAAAACACUGAAAGUAAAUGCUCUCGGUGGUCUCAUUCUUGUCGUUGCUGAAAAAAUGCUAGAAAAUGACUUUGUGUGUUCUUGUAAUCAGCCUUACAGGAAUGUUGUCUUUCUACAUUUUUUUAUUCCUGUUCUUUUUUACAUGGUCAUGGUUAUUAAAUGGUUUAAACCAGGACAUCGGCAACAAAUCUUCUUGGUGAAGACCUUCCUGAUUUCAUCUUUUUUGUGGAUUGUAUUACUUCUUACUGAUGGAAGAUACGUUGCAUGUUUAGAAUUUUCAUCAAAUCCUCCAUGUAACAAUACAAUAAAUGUGACAGAACUUCAAUCCACUCCAGCAUUUUUUAAAUCUAAGAUUGCAGGUUUUUUUCUGUUAUAUUGUGUGCUGUCUAUUGCCUUCCUUACUACAAUUGUUGCAUACUUAAAAGAAUUGAGAAACUUCAGGAACAAUGAAAAUACAGCAUUAUACAACAGGAUAAAUCCUGAAAAUGAUUCUGAGACAACAGGACUAAGCCAGAGGACAGUACCUGAGCAAAACAACCAGAAAACCAUGAAGUCAAUCAAAACCAGAUCUGUUACAGUGUAAGAAAAGUGUUACCUGUAAUAUACUGUACAGAGAGUAAAGUAAACGCCAUUGAUUUUUUUAUUGCUUCUGUGUUUGUUGUUUUCUGAAUUUCAUAUAAUUUUAUCAUAAAUAGCUAAUCAUGACACACUGUAUGUAUACAUUUGAUUUGAUAUGCUGUCUUAAAUGAAUGUAAAUUCAAUUAUAAUAUGCAACCGUGUAUUAGAGUGGAAACCAUGUUGUAUAACGCUGGAUUGACAUUUUAAGGAUAAUUUUUGUUUCAUUUUUUUUGUAGAAUCAUUUGUCUAAACAGUUACUGCUUUUCUGAUUUCAAAUUCUGCAUCUGUAAAAACAAUAAAACUGCUGACUGCUGAUAAAUAAUC